AGCAGCCGCGGUAAUUCCAGCUCCAAUAGCGUAUAUUAAAGUUGUUGCAGUUAAAAGCUCGUAGUUGAAUUUCGGGAUCAGUACGCCGGUCGUGCCUUCGGUAUGCACUGGUGUCACUGGUUUCUCCCUUCUGAAGAACCAUCAUGCCAUUCAGUUGGUGUGGCGGGGAAUCAGGACUGUUACUUUGAAAAAUUAGAGUGUUUAAAGCAGGCUCGCGCUUGAAUACAUUAGCAUGGAAUAAUGAAAUAGGACGUUUGACCCUAUUUUGUUGGUUUCUAGGAUCGACGUAAUGAUUAAUAGGGAUAGUUGGGGGCAUUAGUAUUCAAUUGUCAGAGGUGAAAUUCUUGGAUUUAUUGAAGACUAACUACUGCGAAAGCAUUUGCCAAGGAUGUUUUCAUUAAUCAAGAACGAAAGUUAGGGGAUCGAAGACGAUCAGAUACCGUCGUAGUCUUAACCAUAAACUAUGCCGACUAGGGAUCGGAUGAUGUA
rnacentral:misc_RNA from 1 species